UCGCAUUUCUUCCCUUUCUUUUCAUUCCGACACAGCUCAUCCCAAGAAUCGCUCCAGAACCUCCUCUCAUAAUUUACUUCGGAAACGCAAAACUUUCUUGGCGAUGUCUCUUUUAAUAACAUUCUGUUUCAUACUCUUCACUUUUUCCGUAGUUCGGAAUCAGGAAAUGCUUUCUACUUCUUCGCUGAAUGGAAACUGGCCAUCUGCAGACGAAAUGCAGGCAUUAGUUAUCUAGGAACUCAAGAAAGCUUUUAAAAUUCUAAGUAACACAAAAGUAUUGUUGCUUCGCCAAAUGUGAUAAUUUUCCCCAUGUGCAACAUGAUUACGAGCAAAUUUGUUUUAGAAAAUCCUGCAUACCUUUCUCUUAAGCUUUGUCAUAAUUUAAUAAAACCAGUGAAUCAAAUAACGUUG